GUAGACUAAGCAGUGGUAUCAACGCAGAGUGGCCUUACGGCCAUACCACCUUGAGCACGCCCGAUCUCGUCUGAUCUCGGAAGCUAAGCAGGGUCGGGCCUGGUUAGUACUUGGAUGGGAGACCGCCUGGGAAUACCAGGUGCUGUAAGCAU
rnacentral:rRNA from 1 species